CUGCUUCUGGCUUGUAAGAGUACCACCUGGGAAUGGAAUCUACAUCAAUUUCACAGUUCUCCAAACAGAGCCAAUAUAUGAUUUCAUAACUGUCUGGGAUGGACCAGACCAAACUUCUCCUCAGAUUGGACAAUUCAGUGGCAACACUGCAUUAGAAUCAGUCUACAGCACUUCCAAUCAGAUUCUGAUCAAGUUCCACAGUGACUUUACUACCAGUGGCUUUUUUGUACUUAGUUAUCAUG